rnacentral:sRNA from 1 species
ACAAUAAAUUCAAAACAAAACGUCACCAUCAUCAUCAUCAUAACAACAAAAAAAAAGUGAAAAAAGAAACGCAAAAAAUAGAGACACCAACCAACGGCACAGUUAGCGUCAACAAAAACAUUUCCAUAAUGAGCUAUGAGCUACAUCCCUACCAAGUAACUCACUCCCCUUUGCUCUUUACCUUUCCUACUCUUUUGCCAUAAGGCCCAUAAAAUGCAAAAAAAAAAUAACGCCAACUAUGAAUGUGAGAAUUUGGAGCUUCGUCGUGUGCUGACGAAAUUGAGGUUGGCGCAAAUUUUCGGCCAUGGAAAACGACACCAUCGCCAAUGUAGCUUGCCAAGCAGCCGGGGGACAGGGAAGCGCAGGGAACGUGAAAUGAAUUUGGAAUAUUCCUAAGCAGCAACAUGGUUAUAAAGAUACCGUAUAAGUGGUCACCCGGGAGGGGGACUAGCAUCAUCUAAAUGGUAUUGCCAGAUGCAUAAAGACAUGUAAGCCGCAAUGGAUUGCGAUAAAAUUCCCCCAAAACAACACCCGAGGUUUGGGGGUAAUAAUAAAGGUGAACAUUAAAUUCAUAUCCUUGUCGGUAAUACUGCCCAAUUAGUUGAAGCCUUAAGCCAUGGUUAAGAGUAAAACUCCGCCUACACACUCUAGAUGAGCUUAAGGGAAAAUAUUUCCCUUGAUUAUUUUUACCUUUGGUAUGGCAACACAGUGAUAUGGCACACUUGCCGAGUGUUUGUUUUCAUGCGAUAAUGCCCCCACCCCCUUUCCACUCUCUUGCUUCGAACAAACCAACCAUUUAUUAGUGAGUAAAAGUUUUGUGUGUUUGGUUGAAGCCAAAGGUAUGGUGGGGUGGGGUGGGGGGGUGCUAUGGCCGUAGAUAACACGAAAAUACACAGUACACAAUACUGAAUUACUGAAAUACUCGUAAAAUGACGUGACGUUUCAUGAUGUGCGUGACGUUGUGUGGUGGUUUCCACCCGUUUUAAGGUUGUUCUUUUGCCGCACUCAAUGCUGUGCUGCUGAUGGGGUAUUAUUUUCGUUUCGUUUUUUGUUGUUUUUGUUUUGUUUGCUAUUUUUUUCCAUUUGCCAUGGGUGAGUGUAUGUGUGUGGCAUAACUUUAAGAGUUUAUUUGUAAAGCAAGAUAUGGAAAAAAAACAACAAAAUGUAUAUGAACUGUAGAGUGAGUACGUAUGUAAGUGAAACUGCCCGCAAAAGAAAAGGCGCGAAUAGGGCAAACAAAAGAUUUGUGGAAAAUAACUCAAAUGAAAUGGAAUUUCAUUGGGAAAAAAAUGAAAAAAAAAAAAA